UACGGGGGGGGCAAGCGUUGUUCGGAAUUACUGGGCGUAAAGGGCUCGUAGGUGGCCAACUAAGUCAGACGUGAAAUCCCUCGGCUCAACCGGGGGAACUGCAUCUGAUACUGGAUGGCUUGAGAUUGGGAGAGGGAUGCGGAAUUCCAGGUGUAGCGGUGAAAUGCGUAGAUAUCUGGAGGAACACCGGUGGCGAAGGCGGCAUCCUGGACCAACACUGACGCUGAGGAGCGAAAGCCAGGGGAGCAAACAGG
rnacentral:rRNA from 1 species